UUCAAAAGUUGUUAAAAAAUGGUCUGAUAAUAAAGGAUUCUGUGGAAAUACCAUUAAAUCUUCAAUUUUGAUGCCAUAUGUCAGCACAAGGUCGAGGGUGUGGUUAAAACAGUAAGUAGCUUU